rnacentral:rRNA from 1 species
GAUGAACGCUGGCGGCGUGCCUCAAACAUGCAAGUCGAGCGGGGCUAUGUAAUAUCGCAAGGUAGAACAUAGCCUAGCGGCGAACGGGUGAGUAACACGUGGGUAACCUGCCUGGAAGACAGGGAUAACGAUUCGAAAGGGUCGCUAAUACCUGAUAAUAUCCUUUCAUCGCAUGGUGAUAGGAAGAAAGGGGAAACCCGCUUUCAGAUGGGCCCGCGUCCCAUCAGCUAGUUGGUAAGGUAAAGGCUUACCAAGGCGACGACGGGUAGCCGGUCUGAGAGGAUGUACGGCCACACUGGGACUGAGAUACGGCCCAGACUCCUACGGGAGGCAGCAGUUGGGAAUCUUAGGCAAUGGACGAAAGUCUGACCUAGCGACGCCGCGUGAGCGAAGAAGGCCUUCGGUUGUAAGACUCUGUCUGGAGGACGGAACAAAAUAGACGGUACCUCCGGACGGAAGACCGACGGACGAACUACGUAGCCAGCACGCCGAACGGUAAACGUACGUACGUCGUCGGC